rnacentral:rRNA from 1 species
AUUGAACGCUGGCGGAAUGCUUUACACAUGCAAGUCGAACGGUAGAGGGGGCAACCCCUCGAGAGUGGCGAACGGGUGAGUAAUAUAUCGGAACGUGCCCAGUCGUGGGGGAUAACGUAGCGAAAGUUACGCUAAUACCGCAUACGAUCUACGGAUGAAAGCGGGGGAUCGCAAGACCUCGCGCGAUUGGAGCGGCCGAUAUCAGAUUAGGUAGUUGGUGGGGUAAAGGCUCACCAAGCCAACGAUCUGUAGCUGGUCUGAGAGGACGACCAGCCACACUGGAACUGAGACACGGUCCAGACUCCUACGGGAGGCAGCAGUGGGGAAUUUUGGACAAUGGACGAAAGUCUGAUCCAGCCAUUCCGCGUGCAGGAUGAAGGCCCUCGGGUUGUAAACUGCUUUUGUACGGAACGAAAAGACUCUGGUUAAUACCUGGGGUCCAUGACGGUACCGUAAGAAUAAGCACCGGCUAACUACGUG